GGCCUGUACGUAGCGCUGUGCCAACUGCGCUCUGACAUAUUAACACCGGAAGACUUCUAAUUGAGGUCAUUCAAAAUUGUCAUGGCGGGAUCCACGAGGAACUGGACGUGGUGUGUGACGUCAGACGCUGAAAAGGUUCCCACUGGCUUUAAAACGCCACAGGCGGACCAUGUAGAUCCCCAUUUGCGACUCGACCUGGUCCGGAGAAAUAUGGAGUUUGAGCACGGAGACUAGGUGGAAGUUAUCCAGCAUCAAUGAACACUUCAGAAACUGAGAAGACAAGAUUGGUCAUCAUGAAGGUCUUCAACAUGAUGGACAAAAUGAAAACCUCAGCCUUUCACAUCACCUCUGGUCCCUUCAAUCAGGAUCCAUCUCCAUACUUGGUCUGGUCCAUAGAGUCCUACACACAGAAGAUCAGAUCAGGUCAGUCAGUUAGCAGAUUCAAGUGAACAGAAUUAUCAUUGGUCAAUGAAGAACAAACCUGAAGACAUCCUUUGGCCACUAAAAACCUGGUCCACUUCCACCCUACAGUCCAGGAACAACCUUACAGUUUUCAUCAACAGAAAUAACACUGGACUGGGUGGAUUACUGCCCGCAAGUAGAAGUUUGGAGAGCUCACAAUCUUUCCUUUCUGUGAGACGCCCAAUUGGUUAAAAUAUCGUCACGUUUAAGAUUCGCAAGAUCUGGAGGCAUGAGAUCUUGUCACACCCCUGGUUUUCUCACAUAAAAAUAGUAACCUUGACCCCAGUUUGCUGCAUUUACAUACAGUAUGACCGACUACCUUUAUGUAAUUUAGAUUUAAGUCACACGCUUUUAAAUAUUUAAUACUGUAUAAACGGCCAAGUUUUAACAUCUAAAACUGACCAUAUUUUUAUCUCAAAAUCUAAAUUAUUAGUAUAAUAUAUAUAUAUAUAUAUAUAUAUAUGUUUAGAUUCCUUUCAAAAUACCAGACAAAAUCAGUUCACUUUACUGUUUACUGUUUUUUAAGUUUGUUUGUUUUUUGUUUUUUUUCUCUCUCUUGUUUUAAAUAUUGGGAUUUUUUAUUAAAUGCAACCUCCACCUUGGCUUUUGUGAUAAAGCAGCAGACUGACUCUGGUGACUUUGGUCACAUAGCAUCUUUAAUACCACCAUUAUAAUAAUUAGGAUAUCAAAAGUAUCGAGUAUACAUACAUCAUUUGCAUUGCAAUACACAAAUCUGAGCUGAUUCAUGUUUCAAUAUCUGUCACCUGUUGUUCUUCUGAACAGCUUUUAUUGUUGACCCCAUUGUGCUGAUACACUGCAUUGUCCUGAAGAACUUGAUGCUAUUUCAGGAAAGAGAACACUUAAUUGGACAUGUUUUGUUAAGUUGUAUAAAAAGUGUUUUUUCUGAUAUUUCCAAAUGUAACUUGAAUCCUAUAGUCUACUACUUUCCAAUACCAAUAAUCAAGAAUCUUAAUAUAAGCCAAACUAGAGUCCAUGUCACCAAAAUCCAAGUGUUGAUGGUAGGUUUCUUCACCUACUGUGAUCUUGAUUUCCUGUAGUUUUCUUCUCUGUUUUUUGCAGUAAAGUUCUGGAUGUGGAAACAGUC